AACAUAAUGCAAAUAUAAUCCAAAUUCAAAGCAAUAACAAUUAAGUUGAUCACAAUAUAAAAAGAUAAAGGAAGAGGGAUUCAAACACAGAGAUUUUUACCUGGUUCGGCCAACCUCACCUACGUCCACGCCUCCAAGCUUUCCGGGCUUGAGGAUUCCACUAAGCAAGCCGCCAAGGCUUCAAAUGCUUACACUUGACUUCCAAGGUGUCAAUAAACCUUUACAACAAGAGAUUAUCCCCAAUUUCUUAACCCAAGUGUAUCCCAACACUUACAAUCACUCAAAGUAAAAGAUUACAAAUUGUUUUGCCUCUCACAAUAUAUAAGAUUACACAAUGAUGCUUAAUAUGUGAAUAGAUGAAGCAAGAAUGUGUUUUUAAGCUUUAUGAAGAUUGUAUUCUCGAAUAUUUGCUCAAAGGUCGUGUUGUGAUCAACCUCCUUUGUAUCGGUGAGCCGUUUAUCAAUCUUGUCGGUUUGACAUUUAUGUCUAGAGACUUCCCUUCAGUUCUGGUUGAUAUCAGCGAGCCGUUUAGUGACAUAUCGGUUCGCCGUUUAUGUCCAGAGGCUACUAGUUGAUAUCGAUGAGCCGUUUAUUACAUAUGUCGGUUCGCCGUUUUCCAUAAAAACUGCUGUUUUGACUCCAAAUCUUUACUAUUCUUUAUGAGACUUGUUUAAAGAUAGAGAAAAUUAUAUUGAACUCUUAAAAGAUUAACCAAAACUUAAUCAUGUUUGUUAUCAUCAAAAUCAAUGAAGAAUUAUUUAGGUUAACAAUCUCCCGCUUUUUUAUGAUGACAAACUUUUCAAAAACAAUACUAGUGUAAUUUUGCUCCCCCUAAAUAUGUGCUCCCCCUAAGUGAAAUUUUGAAAGACUUGUUAACUCCUUUAAAAAAAAAUCAUUUAACAGUUAAUCUCAAAAUGUUAAAACACGACAGAUAGAUUAAAAAAAAAAUUAUGCCAAUACUAUUUUGCCGAAAACAAUUAUGCCAAUUUCCAAUAAACUCAUGCCAAUUUCUCUCCCCCUUCAUCAUCAAAAAGGACUUAUGUUUGGAAAAAUUUGGGCAGAAUCUCCCCUGAAAUGUGAAUAUAUCCUCAAGAAUACAUAGAGUCAAAACAAAAAGCACUUCCAUAUUAGUAUACCACCAUAUCAACCAACCUCCAUACCAACAGAUUCACACUUCCAGAAUGAGCAAGGUAAUCAAUGUAAUACCAAAAACAACCCAAACAUGAAUUAUCAUCAUGAAUUAUCAAAAGCAUAAUCAUAAAACACAUAACACUCAGAACACAAAUAAUAUCAUACACAUUCAGCAAAUGAAAUGAGAAAAUGUCUGUGCGAAAGUCAGAGGGGCAAAGAAAUCUAAGAUGGGGGCUGUGAAGACGAGCUGCCGGGGUCAUAUCCAAAGUAGCCGAGAAUGCGACGCUGGCCCGCAAUUAACUCCAUCUGCUGAUCUGAAAUUUGCUCCCGAAAGGUUGCAAAGUCAUAUCGAAGCUGCUGCUGCUGCUGGGACAAAGCAUCCACUCGGUCGAGAAGCUGCUGGAAGCGAUCCUCAAGAACAGCUGAUGCCACAGGAGGGACGGCAGUCUCGGUAGGCUCGUCAUCCUAAGGUGCAUCUGCUGCUGGUGAAGCAGGAGCUGCUGGUGCUACUGGUGCUGCUGCUCGGCGAGGAACACGCGGUCUAACCCCAAGACAAAAAUCAGGUAGCUCAUCCUUGGAGUAGACAUCAUUCAGCAUACGAUCAUCCUCGGGUGCUAUCAGUGUGGCCUCGUUUUUGGAGGAUGUGGUCUUUUCCCAUUUCCCACGCUUCUUAAAGAAUCCAAUGGCAGAAAUGAUUUCUCGACCAAGCUUACGAGUCUCGAGAAAAACAGGCUCGACGAUAGGAACAUGAAAGUGGUUCAAGAUCCUAGUGAUGAUGCUGCCAUAAGGAAGGGAUCGAUUGGAGACUUUAGGAGUGGACAACAUAUGACACAUAAUAGUGUAGGAUAGGCUCACAUGGCAUCUACGAAUGAGAGAAUCUAAUAGACCAAUAUCAAGCCUAGUGACCUCAUCAGUGUGACCCUGUCUAGGAGUGACCAUGUGUUGGAGAAUAAUGUGAAGUAUUCGAAUCUGAAAAGGGAGGAGUUGAGACCUAAAGGACAAAGAGCAGAUGUCAUCGGAAAGAUCCCGACGACGACAAAUGUUCCGUACACCAUCCACAUGACGAAAAUUACUAAAAGAUAGCUUUUUUCUAGCGGUGUACAGAUCUAACCCUCCAUAAGCGAUUCCUAGAAUACUACAUAAUUCGGGUUCAUUAAGUUCAAUGCGAAUUCCUCCUACGAAUGUAUGAAGCUCGUCACGACUAGUAGAGGAGAAAUCUAUGUUUGAAUAAAAGACUCGAACUAGAUUUUCAUAAAUAGGUUCUUCAAUACUUAAAGCUUACGUUCAAUGACUAAGCAUUUGAGUAAUUGAGUGACCACAAACAGUAAUAUCCGAGAACUCUGAAAUAUUAAGAGAAAAAGAGGGAGUUACGGGUUUACCCAUGAACUUCUCACGAAAACGCUGAGCAGAGGUAGCAUCGAAAAAAUGAAGACUCUCGAAGUCUUGAGGAGGAGACCUGGGUGGACUAGAACGGUGUGGAGCAGUGUGCUUGGUUCGAGCACGCCUUUGUGGUCGUUCCGCCAUGGAUGAGUUGAAGAAAAAAAAAAUUGUGAAAAAGAAGUUUGAGAGAUGAGAUAGUGAUUGUGGGUGAAAAUGUGAUUGGAAAAAGGCAGAGAUUUGGAUUAAUUUGAGCAAGGAAGGCUCGGCUGGUUCUAGGGUUUCAAAAAGAGGAUUUUUCAAUUUUAGAUGAAAGAGAAGGAUUUGAGUCGGUUAAAAGGGUCUAGAGAAGAUAAAAAUGGUUUGUAAUGCUUCAAUUUGAUGAAAAAAAAUCAAGAAAAGUGAUGGAUUUGAGAGUAGAGAACUGGUACAGUCGCGGGCUGAAGAGAGAGAGAGAGAGAGAGGGAAGCCGAAAUGAGGAGGAAGACAAAGGACUAUUCAAUUAACGCGUGAUAACGGCGAGCCGUUAUAAAGAAAACGGCGAGUCGACAGAGUCCAGAGAGUAGUAUCCAAACAAAUUCAUCAAAACGGCGAGCCGUUUAUAGAAAUAACGGCGAGCCGAUAAGAUCCAGGGAGUCCCCUCAGAAUUUUGUAUUAGGACGGCGAGCUGAUAGAUAGUUAUCGGCGAAUCGAUAGCUUCCAGAAAACGUUCCAUUGUUUCUACCCAAAACGGUUAGCCGUUUAUUGAAAUGACGGCAAUCCGUUUUCUACAACUUAUGAUUUGGCACAUGUAUUUUGAUAUUUGGCUACUUAUUAAUACAUUUCAAGAUCAUUUUAUUGAUCCAAAAUGAUUUGAGUGCCAGUUCAAUGCAUAAUUCAUGAACAUAUCUAUAUAUGUAUUGCAACAAUUAAUUCAUACAUUUUCAAAUAUACAUACACAUCGCAUAUAUAUUACGAUUGAGCAUCCCAAAGAAAUUAAAACAUCAAGUCAUAGAUCAAUCAAUGUUAAUAGACUCAAUAGCAUGAAUGAAGAUGUUAAUGUGAAAAUUUCAUCAUCCCAAGUUCAUGCCGAAUUUUGGAAAAUUGUUCUUCGCAAAGUGGUUUUGUAAAAAUAUCGGCAAGUUGUUUUUCUGUAGAAAUAAACUCUAAUGCAAUGUCUCUCUUUUGAACAUGAUCUCUCAAGAAAUGAUGUCUUAUUUCUAUCUGCUUGGUUCGAGAGUGUUGAAUGAGAUUCUUUGAAAGAUUUAUGGCACUAGUAUUAUCACACUUAAUAGGAAUUUGUUCAAGAUUAAUACCAUAAUCUUUAAGUGUUUGUUUCAUCUAAAGUGCUUGUGCACAACAACUUCCGGCAGCUAUAUAUUCGGCCUCGGUAGUUGAAAGUGCGACAGAAUUUUGUUUCUUGCUAAACCACGAAACAAGAGAGUGUCCUAGAAUAUAGCAAGUACCACUAGUGCUCUUUCUAUCCACUUUAUAACCGGCAAAGUCCGCAUCCGAAUAACAUGUUAAAUUUAUAUGAGUUCCCCUAGGAUACCAAAGGCCAAUAUCUAUGGUUCCACUCAAAUAACGGAAAAUUCUUUUAACAGCAAGCAAAUGAGAUUCCUUGGGACAUGACUGAAAUCUUGCACACAAACAUACACUAAACAUGAUAUCGGGUCUACUUGCAGUCAAAUAAAGUAGGGAUCUAAUCAUACCUCGAUACAUUUUGAUAUCCACUUCUUUGCCUUUUUCAUCUUUGUCCAGCUUGGUUGUUAUGCUCAUUGGUGUAUUUUUUGUCUUCGAGUCAUCAAUGCCGAAUCGUUUGAGUAGAUCUUUUACGUACUUGGCUUGAUUUAUGAAGAUUCCUUCCUCGUUUUGUUUGAUUUGAAGUCCAAGAAAGUACUUCAACUCUCCCAUCAUACUCAUCUCAAAUUCUUUGCUCAUACACGAUGAAAAUUCUUUACAUAACAACUCAUUAGUAGAACAAAAAAUAAUAUCAUCAACAUAAAUUUGAACAAUAAGUAUGUCUUGAUUUUUAUACUUAACAAAUAGAGUAGUAUCCGCUUUACCCAUUGAAAAGUCAUUUUCCAACAGAAAAUUCUUAAGUCUAUCAUACCAUGCUCUAGGUGCUUGUUUUAAACCAUACAAGGCUUUAAACAACUUAUAAACGUGAUUUGAAAAUUUUUCAUUUUCAAAACCAGGGGGUUGUUUUACAUACACUUCUUCCAUAAUAUAUCCAUUUAGGAAAGCACUUUUCACAUCCAUUUGAAAUAAAAUAAAAUCUUUAUGACAUGCAUAUGUUAAUAACAUCCUAAUGGAUUCUAACUUUGCUACAGGAGCAAAGGUUUCAUCAAAAUCAAUUCCUUCUUCUUGGUUGUAACCUUGAGCCACUAAUCUAGCUUUAUUUCUUACAACCACACCGGAUUCAUCCAUCUUAUUUCUAAACACCCAUUUAAUAUCUAUGACAGAUUGAUGUUCCGGUUUAGGAACUAAUUCCCACACAUUGUUUCUUUCAAAUUGAUUUAACUCCUCUUGCAUUGCCAUAAUCCAAGAUUCAUCAUUUUCCGCAUCCGCAAAGGAUUUGGGUUCAAUUUGAGAGAUAAAUGCAUUAUGCUCACAAGUAUUCUUAAGAGAUGAUCUAGUUGUAAUACCUCAUGAGGGAUCUCCAAAAAUUACAUCUUUAGGAUGAGAAGAGACAUACCUCCACUCCUUGGGGAGUGUUUGAGAAAUACCUUCUUGUUGCUCCAGCUUCGUAUUUGUUUGCUCUUCUUGUCUAUCCUCUUGAUUUUGUUGUGAUGUAUUCUCUUGAAUCUUUUUUGAUGAUUCUUCUUAUAAAUCUCCAUCUGCAUCAUCAUUAGCAACUCCUUUCUCCGCAGAGAAGGGGUUAGACUCAUCAAACGUAACAUGCAUGGAUUCUUCCACAACUAAAGUUCUUUUAUUAUAAACUCUAUAAACUUUGCUUGAGUUUGAAUACCCAAGAAAGAUGCCAACAUCAGAUUUUGAAUCAAAUUUACCAAGAUUAUCUUUUGUGUUUAAAAUAAAGCAAUUGCAUCCAAAAACUUUGAAAUAACCAAUGUUGGGUUUUCUAUCUUUCCAAAGCUCAUAUGGAGUUUUAUUAAGAUUAUGUCUAAUCAACACCCGAUUUAAAACAUAACAAGCGGUGUUGACGGCUUCGGCCCAAAAAUAUUUUGGUAAUGCAUUUUCAUUUAACAUGGUCCUAGUCAUUUCUUGAAUAGACCUAUUCUUUCUCUCAACAACUCCAUUUUGUUGUGGAGUUCUAGGUGAUGAAAAUUGAUGCUCAAUGCCUAGAUUAUUGCAAAAAAUCUCAAAUACAUGAUUUUCAAAUUCUCCUCCAUGAUCACUUCUAAUGCAUACAAUACCAUGUCCUUUUUCAUUUUGUAAUUUCUUACAAAGCACUUUAAAAGCAUCAAGAGCAUCAUCCUUAUUGGCUAAGAAUAAUACCCAUGUAUAUCUAUAAUAAUCAUCCACUAUCACAAAUGCAUAAUAUUUGCCAUUUAGACUUGCAUAUCUAGAUGGCCCAAAAAGAUCUAUGUGAAGAAGUUCAAGUGGUUUUGAAGUAGAAAUAUGGUUUUUAUUCUUGAAAGAAGUUUUAAUUUGUUUUCCAAAUUGACAAGCUUCACAAAUCUUAUCCUUUUGAAAACUAAUUUUCGGAAGACCUUUAACUAAAUCAUCUUUCGAAAUUUUUGAAAUUAAAUCCAUACUUGCAUGUCCUAACCUUCUAUGCCAUAACCAACAAUCAUCAUGCAAUGCCGAAAAACAUUUAUCAAGAGUAGAUGCACAUUCUAUGUCAAUGAUAUAAACAUUACCACAUCUAUUUCCAACAAAUAAGGUUUUGUCAUCACAUGAGUUCUCAAUAACACAACUAAAUUUAUCAAAAAUAACUUUAUAACCUUUGUCACAUAAUUGACUAAUGCUAAUUAAGUUGUGUUUCAAGUUCUCAACCAAACAUAUAUUCUUAAUUAGAGUUGAAGAGACUUUACCAACAUUUCUAAUUCCAAGAAUUUUUCCUUUUGAGUUGUCUCCAAAAGAUACAUCUCCACCAUUUUCAAUUUUGGUAAAGCUUGAGAACCAUGCAUAGUUUCCAGUCAUGUGUCUUGAAUAACCGCUGUCCAAGUACCAUUUAUUUUUCUUCUUCUUCAAGCCCUACAAGAAAAAAUCUCAAGUUUUAGGUACCCAAAGCUUUUUGGGUCCUUGAGAGUUAGCAACGGCUCCUUUUGGAACCCAAAUGCAUUUGACACCAUAAUAUGCAUUUCUUUUUACGGGACAUCUAUAUUUCAUGUGACCAUUUUGAUUACAAUAAUGACAUACAAUCUUAUGAUCAUUUGUGGAGGUAGCAUUAACAAAAUAAUUCUUAUAAUAUUUUUGCUUCAAAUUAGGCUUAUAUCCAAGUCCUCCUUUAUCAAAAACACAUUUUUGUGAGUUAAGCAUAUUAUCCAACAUCUUUUGCCCAUUUGUAAAUUUCAAAACAAUUUCAUUCAAUUCAUUACUCUUCUUCUUGAGCAUUUCAUUCUCAUUUUUCAACUCAUCUAUGUGUGAUUCUAAAUGCUCAUGUAAGAUGCUAGGUUUCUCAUUUGAUAAUGCAAUUUCAUCAUGCAAUAUUUUGUUCUCUACUUUUAGGCAUACAAUUCUUGCAUUUAGAGAUUCAUUUUCAUUUUUAAGCUUUGCCAUUUCCUUUUUAAGACAUACAUUCUUUUUACCAAUCUUCAUCAACUCAUUAUGCAAAUCUUUAAAAGUAUCAUACAAUUCAUCAUAGGUGGGAUCACUUACCUCAUUGAGAUCAUCAUCCCCUCCUAUUGCCAUGAGUGCUAGGUUUGAUACUUCUUGCAAUCCUUCUUCAUUACUUGAUUCUUCCCCAUUAUCAUCCCAAGUUGCAACCAUUGCUUUCUUUUUGAGUUUGUUGAUAAGUGGGCACUCCGAUCUUAUAUGUCCAGGCUUCUUGCAUUCAUAGCAUGUGAUUGCCUCCUUCUUCUCUCUAUGGUUCUUGAAGUUUCUGAAAUUUCUUCGCUCUCUAGUUUUCUUGAAGAAUUUUCUGAACCUCCUUGCUAGCAUGGCUAGCUCUUCAUCAUCCGGUUCACUUUCCCCAUCACUCUCAUAUUUUGAAGCUUUAAGAGCAAUACUUUUCUUCUUCUCCUCAUGUCCUUUUUCUGCAGCUAAAUCCUCUUCAUAUGAAAUAAGAGAACCAAUUAAAUCAUCAAGAGUUAAAGUAUUUAAAUCUUUGGCCUCUUCAAUGGAGGUUCUUUUAGGUCUCCAUUCUUUUGGAAGUGACCUAAUAAUUUUCUUAACUUUCUCACUAUUUGAGAAGGUUUUUCCUAAGGCACUUAGGGUGUUCACUAUGUCCGUGAAUCUAGUAUACAUAGAAUACACAUUUUCAUUUUGUUCCAUUUGGAACAACUCAUAUUGACGAGUGUAUCUACUGAUUUUAGACUCUUUUACUUGAUUUGUCCCUUCAUAGACAACUUCAAGUUUGUUCCAUAUCUCUUGUGCACUUUCACAACUAGAUACUCUAUGGAAUUCUUUCUUAUCAAGGGCACAAAACAAAGCAUUCAUAGCCUUGGAGUUUAGAGACAUCUUUCUCUUUUCUAACUCACUCCAUUGACUCGAUGGUUUAGGAAUAUCAUCUCCUACUUCAUCUUUAAACAUAGGCAUGAAUGGACCAUCACAAACAACUUCCCAAAUUUCAUAAUCUAAAGCUUGCAAAUAGAUUCUCAUUCUAGUUUUCCAAUAAGCAUAGUCAUUACCAUCGAAAAAUGGGGGUCUAGUUGUGGAUUGCCCUUCUCCAAAGGUUGAGUCAUUUAGGGUUGCCAUUGAUAUUUUACUCUAGACGAUUAAGUCUUAACAAGAGAACAAGGCUCUGAUACCAAUUGAAAAACAAGUAUGCAACCCAAGAGGGGGGGUGAAUUGGGAUUCUAAAAAUUAUUCAAUUUAUAAAGAAAAACUUAAUGCAAAUAUAAUCCAAAUUCAAAGCAAUAACAAUUAAGUUGAUCACAAUAUAAAAAGAUAAAGGAAGAGGGAUUCAAACACAGAGAUUUUUACCUGGUUCGGCCAACCUCGCCUACGUCCACGCCUCCAAGCUUUCCGGGCUUGAGGAUUCCACUAAGCAAGCCGCCAAGGCUUCAAAUGCUUACACUUGACUUCCAAGGUGUCAAUAAACCUUUACAACAAGAGAUUAUCCCCAAUCUCUUAACCCAAGUGUAUCCCAACACUUACAAUCACUCAAAGUAAAAGAUUACAAAUUGUUUUGCCUCUCACAAUAUAUAAGAUUACACAAUGAUGCUUAAUAUGUGAAUAAAUGAAGCAAGAAUGUGUUUUUUAGCUUUAUGAAGAUUGUAUUCUCGAAUAUUUUCUCAAAGGUCGUGUUGUGAUCAACCUCCUUUGAAUUUGAAUGAUCUUAUUUAUAUCUGGAGCUGAAAACUAGCCGUUAUUGACUUUCUGCACACUGUCGGAUCGCCGCUAACUAGAUGUCGGAUCACCGUUUGACUGGUCAAUAUGACCGUUGGGCUGGUUUUCAAAUUGUCGGAUCGCCGUUAUCUAGAUACCGGAUUGCCGUUUGUGUCUAGAGGCUACACUUCAGUUCUGGUUAAUAUCGGCGAGCCGUUUAUCAAACUUGUCGGAUCACCGUUUUUAUCCAGAGACUACUGGAUGAUAUCGGUGAGCCGUUUAUCAAUCUUGUCGGUUUGACAUUUAUGUCUAGAGACUUCCCUUCAGUUCUGGUUGAUAUCGGCGAGCCGUUUAGUGACAUAUCGGUUCACCGUUUAUGUCCAGAGGCUACUGGUUGAUAUCGGCGAGCCGUUUAUUACACAUGUCGGUUCGCCGUUUUCCAUAAAAACUGCUGUUUUGACUCCAAAUCCUUACUAUUCUUUAUGAGGCUUGUUUAAAGAUAGAGAAAAUUAUAUUGAACUCUUAAAAGAUUAACCAAAACUUAAUCAUGUUUGUUAUCAUCAAAAUCAAUGAAGAAUUAUUUAGGUUAACAAUAUAGGCACAAAAUAAAAAAUAUUUUAAAGUAUUAGG
rnacentral:lncRNA from 1 species